rnacentral:rRNA from 1 species
AUGAUCUUAUUAACCCAGUCACAAAAUGGUUGGGAUGAAGAGUUGGUGAGACAAACUUUGUGGCCAAUUGAUGCCUGUAGAGUACUAGCGAUCCCGAUACAUAUGCAUAAUAUGUCGGACUUUAUUGCGUGGAGCUAUAAAAACGGUUUAUUCACUGUACAAUUAGCUUAUUUGGAGGAAUUGAAUAAGCAACAUGGGAGGAAGUUGAAAUACUCAAAUGGCAUGGGCAGAAGUAACGUCAAUCCUAUUUGGGGUAAGAUCUGGAAAUUAGCUUGUCCGGCAAAGGUUAAAUUUUUUAUUUGGCGGACACUUCACGGGACCCUGCCGUGUCGCGUUACAUUAGCCAACAGACAUUUACAAACUCAGCCAAUAUGCCCAACAUGUUUGGAUGGGCCAGAAGACAUGAAACAUUUAUUAUUUCUGUGCCAGAAGGCAAAGGAAGUGUGGGAAUAUUUGGGGUUGUAUAAAGUGAUGAAAAAAGCCUGCGUCAUUGAUUGUGCAGGAGAGGCAGUCCUUGAAUUCUUACUCCUUAUGCAUGAUCAUGAAUUGCACAUCUUGGGCUCCCGAAAUGCAGGGGAACUAAUCGCUAUAGCUGCUUGAUAUUUAUGAUGGAAUAGACGGAAACUAGUCCAUGAGGGUAAGUCUCAAGAGGCGUCCCAGACCUCGAUGGGGAUUAGGGCUAUAACAGCGAACUAUGUAAAUGCCCACUCUCCUAAAGCAAAAAGAAAGAAUGAAGAAUGGUGCAGACCUCCUAGGGGGUUUGUUAAAUUGAAUGUGGAUGCUUUUUUUAAUCAUGAUCAGCUAAGAGGCACAACGGGUGCUGUUAUGAGAGAUGACAAAGGAAACUUCAUAGUAGGUGGUAACUAA